rnacentral:tRNA from 1 species
UCUGGGGUCGCCUAAUUGGUAGGGCAACUGACUUUGAAUCAGGAGGUUGGGGGUUCGAGCCCCUCCCCCAGAACCA